CAUGGAUGCUAGUCAGGUUCAUUAACCACCGAGCCACAAAGAGAACUCCCUUAUAUCUUAUUUUAGAAAACAUAGUAAUUCCCUCAAAUUUGCCUUAGAUAUAGAGGACAAAGAAAUUUUAAUAAAAUUCUAAGACUUUCUGAGGACUGCCUUUUUGUAGACAUCUCAAAGUUCUAGCAGCUGAAGAGAAGACUGAAUGAUGCUGUUCUUCAUGGUACUCUAUCAGAUUUCAUAUCUGAUUUCAUAUCAGAUUUCAUUGGAGUUGUUUAAAAAAGGGGGUGCUAUAAAAGUCCUUAUUACAAUGAUUGCAAUGUAAAUAAUGCUUGGGUGGAGAUUUCUAAACUCUUAAGAUUCAGCUUUCCUAAUACACAAUCCUCACAAAUAUUUGGAAUAAAGAUUUUAGAAUGUUUACUGGCAGAUUUUUUAGGAAGGAUCUCUGAAAGUUUUCUGACUUAUUACUUCUUAAUUUCCCUAUGUAUAAUAAAGUGGUCCAAGUAUAUACAUUUUCUGUCAUUUCAUUAACUUCAAGAUGACCAGAAAAACAUUUAUCCUCAUAUAAAUCAAAUGCUAAAUUAUCAGUGUUUCAAAUUUAUUUAUUGAACGACUGCUAUGUACCAGGUAAUACGCUUGACAGACGGACUAUGAUAAAAGAGGAAAAGCUUACAGUCUGAGAAGGUAAGUAGCUUUAUUGUCUAAUGUAUAGGCUGUUGAAAAAAAUUUCAAUUUUGGUGUUUCUAAAAUUUACAGUAGUCGUUGGUGUUUUAGUUUUCAAAUGUGAUAUUACAAGAGGCUGAUGGUUUAAUCCUUUGAUCAGUAUGAUUUUAGUUUUAUUUUAGGGUGAAUAGAAUGUGGUAUGUGCUUUUACAAUCUUAGUGAAUCCCAGUACUCAUUCGUAGAUAAACACAAAUGCAUUAAUGCUAGGAUACUUUAAACACCAGGAAAUGGUUACCAUUUUUGUUUGUUAUGCUAUAGAAUGUUAAAUUAAUACCUUUACGUGAAAAAAUCAUUGGUGAAAUGUGCAAUCCAUAUGCAUUUACACACCUUUCCAGUUAAGUGAUGAACUUGAUAAGAGCCUGUCAUUGUUGCUCCUUAAUCAGUAGGAAGGGGUCAUCUUUGAGUGACAUGAGGCACUCCUUCCCUCAGGCAUUUAUCACGUAGCUUCCACACCAAUCAUAUCUCUUGCUGACGUGGAACUUGCAAAAUUCAGAAUGAUAAUUGUUUUUAUAACAAAUGUGGAUUGAGUUAGAAAGGUCAGUGAUGGCAUUAUUGGAAUUAUGCUCUCUAUGCCUAGUGAUGUCAAAACUGAAGACAUGGGGUUGUUACUAUCUUGUUAAAAAGUAUGUUAUCAAAAAAUUCACCUUGUAGAUUAAAAUGAAUUGUGGUAGGAUGAUAUACUUUGGUAGUUAUGUGCUCUGAAACAGAAUUAGAGACUAUUGGUCUAUAGAUUAUUUGGAAAAGCUUAUGGUAUGGUUUUAUUAGGUUCUAAGCAAAUGUCUUCUAAGGGACUACAAAUCACACUAAAAGACAUUUUCAGAAGAAACAAGGUAGUUUUAACAUCGACAGACAUUUUUAAAAAAUUAUCUAAAAAAUUUGUUUUCUCUCAAGUAAAUGCUAAUCUUUGAGAUGAUCCAAAAUAUAUUUAAUUCCUGCUUCCUACUUGAUGAAAGUACCAAGCAACAUUGUUUCUUAGACUCAUGAAUUUAUGUGAAUUGCUAGAGGGAGAGAAAACUUUCUAUUAUUUUCAAAGAGGCUAUUAAUAAUAUUUACCAAUCACCAGUCCAAAUGAUUAGCAUUUUAUCAGGAAUUUUCUAAGUAUUACUUUUUCAUUGUAAGCAAAAUUAUAUUUUGUACAUUUCAUAUACAAAAUAUUUUCUAAGCACUAGACACAAGUGACUGGUUCUUUAUAAUACUAUUUUUGUACUGUUGGAUCUUUUUUUUCUUUUUUAAAACAAACACAGUGAACUUUUCUCUGGGUUUUUUAACUACUAGCUGAAUUAAAAUCCAACAGUAUUAAAUCAACAAAGUAAUCAGUGGCCAAUUAUUAUAAAAAAAAUUCCCCUAAUAUAAUAAGCAUAUAUUUUGUAUAUUUAAUUUGUAAUAUGUAAUAUUGCCCUUAAUAUAGACCAAGAAAAGAAAUUUCCUUAAUCAAGCAUCUAAGUAGCUGUCUCCAAAUUUUUGUCUUUCUUUUUAUUGUGGUCCCCAAAUCUUUUCAGACAGUUGAAUUCAGAUUUUGUGAAUCUAAUCCCCUUCCUUUCAAAAGUAUCUAUCUAAACUGGAUCAAAUGAAUAUUAAUGUAAAAUGUGUGUUAAACAUUAAUAGAGAAUGACUACAUUGGAAUGUAUGGCUUAUUUCUACCAAAGAAUGGAAGUUUUUAAAAAUGUGUUUAGCACUUCCAGCAGGUAAGCUGCACUGAACUGAAAGUCGGGAAUCCAACUUUGAAUUUACACCUAUUAUACCAUCAUUUAUCUUAAUAGCCAAUGAACUAAAAUUUCCAAUGAUUUUCCAUUCUUCUGUCUCAAAUAAAAUAGUCAUGUUGAAAAAAUCAUUAAUCUUAAAGUGGUGACAGACAAAAAGAAUUUAGUUUGUUGUCAGUACUUCUCAACUUAAAGGUUAGGUCAGCCAUGGUUUAUGUCAUGACACUGAUAAAUUUUUAUAAUGACCAGAGUGGUUUGAUUUAUAAUAGGCUUUUGUUUUAAGGAAUAUAUAUCAUGGUUAUCUGACUUCAUCCUAAAGAUGCAUUUUUCUACUUUGCAUCAUUUCUCUUUUACAAUAUAGAAACAAAAUUACAGAGCAAUAAGUGAAAUUUAAUAUUAAAAUAGGCAUUUUAAAGAUCUUUCCAUGAAAACUUAAAAGCUGAAUUGGAAAGAUAAAAACUGGGCAAAGGGAUGGGGGGAAAAUCGUUAGGAAUCAGUGAUUUAAAGAGGGUAGGAGUUCCUGCUGUGGGCCAGUGGGUUAAGAAUCUGACUGCAGUGGCUCAGGUCUCUGUGGAGAUGUGGGUUAUAUUCCCAGCCUGGUACAAUCAGCUAAAGGAUCUGGGGUGCUUCAGUUGCAGUGCAGUUUGCAGCUGCAGCUCAGAUUCAGUCUUUGACUCAGAAACUUCCAUAUUCCACAGGUUGAAAGCCAUUUAUAAAAAAGUGGUUGAAUUGGGUCCCUUGAUACCUUUUUUCUUGACUAAUUUUAGUACUUUUUAAAAAAUGGAAACUCUUUAAAUGUCAGAAAUUAUUUUCUCUAAAUGAAAUUACAGAGGGGAAAAGUUUGUAAGCAAAUACAUUGCUAAUGGUGGUUGCAUUUGUGAUAGAAUUUUGAGUAGUUCUUUUUGACUUCAAGUUUUUCUAACUUGAUUUAUAUUUGUUUGUAAUACCAGUAGCCAAUUUAUUUUUUAAAGUAAUGCUCCUAAUAUAAGUACGAAUCAGUCUUGAAAUUUUUCUAAAGUAAACUGGCAUCUGAUGGAUUUUUAAAACAUAAAGUGCAUUUUAAAAAUAAGCCAUUUCCUUCAAGGUGGGAUGUAAUUAAGCCUACUAUCUAGUGCAUAUUUCAAACAAUACAGUUGCACUAUAUGCCCUUCCUUUGAGAGUGAAUCAGUCUUAUUGUUUUACUAAUAUAUUUCUUCUGUUUUCUCUUUAAACCCCUUCAAAUCUGUGCCUUACCCUGUUGGGUGGGGUCAUUACUCCUUAGUAGGAUUCUUAAGUUGCUAAAGAUUAAACCUAAUGCAGAUACUGUGUGGAGUCACAAUAUCUUAUCUUCACUAUCAGCUUUUUCUGAUUUUAGAAGCUUUUAUGGGACCUGAAGAAUUACUUGUUCUGAUUUUUUUUUUUUUUUCAGAUUCAACACCAAAAAGCAGGGAGAAACUGUUAAGAUUAAAUGAUAGCUAUAUUUAUUAAAGGCUAUACCUUAAAAUCCUUUAAAGGGAGUUUACUAACUGUGUGAUUGAGAAGUGUUUUCUUUUAUUAUUACAGACUUGGAAAGAAUUCCCUUCUAAUUUUAUUUUUAACAUUAAUUCAUAUGCAAGCAGUCAGUUUCUAUUGAGAGAACUCUGAGCAAAAAUGUCUUGCCACUGCUGUCCAGAGCAUAUUUUGCACCUCUUCUGUGAAGUGAGUUACACCAGUCAUCCUGGAAGGAGAAUUAUAAUCCAAAGAAAUGACACUACUGUAAGUAUUCAUUACAUUAUUUUUUAUGUGGUUUUAAUUCAUAUUUGACCAACCCAUUAGAAAAGGCUGAUUCUAGAAACUCUAAUCAAACAAAUGACCAGGUAUCUGUACACACACACACU